rnacentral:rRNA from 1 species
UACAGAGGGUGCGAGCGUUGUCCGGAAUCACUGGGCGUAAAGGGCGCGUAGGUGGUGGCUUAAGCGUGCGGUGAAAGCUCGGGGCUCAACUCCGAGUCGGCCGUGCGAACUGGGCUCACUGGAGCAUAGUAGAGGCAGGUGGAAUUCCGGGUGUAGCGGUGGAAUGCGUAGAGAUCCGGAAGAACACCGGUGGCGAAGGCGGCCUGCUGGGCUAUGGCUGACACUGAGGCGCGACAGCGUGGGGAGCAAACAGGAUUAGAACC